rnacentral:lncRNA from 1 species
GGAAGUGACCCUGGGGCAGUGAACAGCAUCCUCCUGGGGUUUGCGAGCAUUGAAGCAGCAUCUCACUGGCUUCCUGAUCCAAGCCUUGGUUAAUGCUGUCCCAGCCCAGCUUCAUCUGGCUCCCUCUGGGGAGCUGUUCAGAAGCUCUUUCAGCUCCUUCAACAGGGUUGCUGCAGAGGAGAUGGGAAGUAGCUGGAAGAGCAGUGAAUGCUGGCAGCUGAGCACAGCUUUUUGGGCAUGCUGACACCAUGGAGCAUUUGUUGUCAGGAUGUCUUUGUGUCCUGGAUGGGCUCUCAGAAGCCCCCAGGAAGCACACCCUUGCCUGAAAGAAAGAAAGCACUUUCACAGUUACUCAGAGAUGCUCCAGUUGCUGAAGCAAAAGUCUUCUCCCUGCUUUACUCCUCUAUUUCCCUCACUAGGGUAGAGGGAAAUAGCAUAGGUCACCUUCCUCAAGAAGCACCAUCCUUGCCUAGGAAGAAGAAGAGGAGGAGAAGCUGCAGUGAAGAGCAGCAAAGUAAAAGAAGAUGCAAACACAAUGUUUCCCCUCUCAGUUCCUAAACCUCUUCUCUGGA